rnacentral:rRNA from 1 species
UGCCAGCAGCCGCGGUAAUACGAAGGGGGCUAGCGUUGUUCGGAAUUACUGGGCGUAAAGCGCACGUAGGCGGAUUAGAAAGUUGGGGGUGAAAUCCCAGGGCUCAACCCUGGAACUGCCUCCAAAACUACUAGUCUUGAGUUCGAGAGAGGUGAGUGAAUUCCGAGUGUAGAGGUGAAAUUCGUAGAUAUUCGGAGGAACACCAGUGGCGAAGGCGGCUAACUGGCUCGGUACUGACGCUGAGAUGCGAAAGCGUGGGGAGCAAACAGGAUUAGAUA